GGGAACAUAGCUCAGCUGGUUAGAGCACCUGUCUUACAAACAGGGGGUCGGGGGUUCGAGUCCCUCUGUUCCCACCC
rnacentral:tRNA from 2 species